ACUACGGGUGGCAGCAGUGAGGAAUAUUGGUCAAUGGCCGUAAGGCUGAACCAGCCAAGUCGCGUGAAGGAAGAAGGAUCUAUGGUUUGUAAACUUCUUUUAUAGGGGAAUAAAGGUAUCCACGUGUGGAUAUUUGCAUGUACCCUAUGAAUAAGCAUCGGCUAACUCCGUGCCAGCAGCCGCGGUAAUACGGAGGAUGCGAGCGUUAUCCUGCUUUAUUGGGUUUAAAGGGUGCGUAGGUUGUUUUUUAAGUCAGCGGUGAAAGUUUGUGGCUCAACCAUAAAAUUGCGGUUGAAACUGGGAGACUUGAGUGUGUUUGAGGUAGGCGGAAGGAGAGGUGUAGCGGUGAAAUGCAUAGAUAUAACGAAGAACUCCGAUUGCGAAGGCAGCUUACUAAGCCAUAACUGACACUGAAGCACGAAAGCGUGGGGAUCAAACAGGAUUAGAUACCCUGGUAGUC
rnacentral:rRNA from 1 species